UGAUUUCUACGGAGAAAGAAGGGGAGAAAUCAGCCACAGAGGAACCUGCAGCAUGGAUGAGGAAAGGGGGGAUGACAACCAAGAGUGUGGACUCUACAGUUCUCCUCUCUGGGCAGGGUGGCUUUGGGAUGGUGUGGCUGUAGAUCACCUAGCCUCUACAGUCAGUCAAAUGGCUUCAGUUGGGGACGAUGGGCUGUGUGUUUCUUGCACGAAUGGUUUGUUCAAGGCUGAAAAACACUCAUCUCUUUUUUGUUGUUGUUGUUGUUUUUGAGAAAGGGUUUCUCUGUGGCUUUGGAGACUGUCCUGGAACUCGCUCAGUAGACCAGGCUGGCCUCGAACUCACAGAGAUCCACCUGCCUCUGCCUCCCGAGGGCUGGAAUUAAAGGCGUGCGCCACCAACGCCUGGCUAACACUCAUCUCUUUCUGAGCCUUUUGUUGGUGCUCUACUCAGAGCCGUUGUACCCCCAGGCUGACCUUGAACUCUCCAUCCUUGUGCCUCAGUCUCCCAAAACCCAGAAUUACAGGUGUGCGCCACCAUAUCCAGUUGACAGAGCUUUGUUAUUUUAUUUAUUUAUUUGUUUAUUUAUUUAUUUAUGUUUAGUUUUUGAAACAGGGUCUCAUGGAGUCCAAGACUGCUUUGAACUCCCAAUUCUCUUGCCUCCUCCCCCACGUUCUGGGGCUACACACACAUACCCUUAUGUCUGGCCUGAUAUUUUUGACUGAAGCAAAACUGAGCUCCAGCCUCAAGUCCUGGGCUACAGUUGACACAGCAAGCUCAGGACCCUGUAAGUGUUCCUUAGGAAAACUGUGCCGGCUGAACACACGCAACCUUCCGGUCUAGAAUCAGGAAUCUGAUAGACAUCCCCUGUCCCAUCUUCACGAGCUCUACCUCCUGACUACAUAGCUUCCUCUGAGUCCUCCUCAGUGACUUCUUAUAACCACCGCUUAGAUUUGGGAAGUCCCCUGCCAAGGCUGCUGCUGACAUCAUGUGCAGUGGCAGGCCCAGAAUCGGGCACUUUGUAUCAUCUCUAUUCUACUCUCAGGAAAACACCCAUCAGAAUUUCUGUGUCCAUCCUGUUUAUAAGUCCAGUGGCCUGAAAAGCUGAUGCAGAUGAGAAGGAUGCAGGAAGGAAACCUCAUGCCUGUCAAGCAUGGUGUUCAGGACACUUGACACACACACAAUCAGUUCGUCCUAUUGACUUUGUGUCGGAAGAUACUACUGCCAUCCUCAUUUUACAGGUAAAGGAAGCAGAAGAGCUGAUUGUAAUGACAAGAACUGACCAAGCAGUGACAGUCUUCAUAGCACCGGCCAGCACUUCCAGCAUGCCAGACCCUUGAUGUGGCCUGCCUUAUACAAUUCCCCAGCAGCCUGGCAGAGAGGGGCAUGUUCCAAACAAGAACCAAUACCUGCUUACCCAGGUUACAUUGCUCUGAAAACACAGGCUAGAGCCUGACCCCCAAGCUCCAGUGUGAACUCACACACCUCCGGCUCUCUAGAGAGAAGGCAGAGAGAUGGCGGCUCUUACAAAGCUGGGAAAAGGGCUAGAUCAGCAUACAGAUGGCAGGAAGGGGAGAGGUGGGACCUGUUGUGGAGGUGUUGAUGUUAUCUCUGGGGAAAGGCUGACCAUUCCACUGUUCAAAUGAUACUGUUCUUACAUGUGGAAAAUUCUGGUUUUGGAGGCCAUGGCUGCACAAAGACAGCGGAAAAGUAGGGUUGGUGUGAAAGAUUGGGAAGUCGGGGUUAUAUCAACUCCCUCCAUAUAAAGGAGGGUGCGCAAUAGCCACUCUGUCCCAGCCUACUCCAACCUAUACUCCUUAGUCCUUCAGCCAAACCGUAUUUCCAUCCUGUCCAAACUGCCGCACUCCAUGCUGCCCCCACCAGCUCCCGGGGAAACAGUGGGGUGGGGCAGAGGCCUGGAUGACAACUCCAAAGCAGCUGCCAUGACUACCCUGUCUCCAGAAGCCAGUGGAAGGAGUGGCUCACGACAGUGCUGCUGGCCAGGAGGAAGCCGGGCGAUCUCUCCAGCCUGCGGGCACUUGUUCAAAGGUUUGCUCCUAGACACCCUGGAGGGGCCUGAAGUGGACAAGGAGGGCUAAAUUACUCAGGGUGGCAGAAGUGUGGACCGUCUGAGGAUAAACAGCUGCACAUUGGGGGGGGGGCUGUGAAUGGGGCUGAAGCCCCCCAUGGUCCCUUCCUAUGUGUGGCACUCACCAGUUUGGUUACAGAUCUCCUAGAAGAUGCUCGGCAGGGGUAGGAAUAAUGCCCACCAAUGAACAAAACAAAAAACAGCAGCUGACCAGAGGAAAACGGGCUGCUCCCUACCCCGGGCCUGCUUAGAGGGACGGUGACCCUCACCAGUCCCAGUCACGCUGCACCAAUGUAACAAAAUGACAGACCAGCAUUUUCUUCCCAGAGACCUGGAGACUGAGAGCUGGAGACAAGUGUCUGCUUAGUUGGGUUCUGGUGAGAACUUGCUUCCUGGCUUGUCCAAAGGCCAUAUUCUAGCUAGGGCUCAUGGGCAGCGGUGUACUUGGAGAAGUUCACUUUUCCUCCCCUAAUAAGACCACCGACCAACCGCACAGUGUUAGGGCCCCACCCAGAUAACCUCAUUUAACCUCCAUUACCUCCUAAAUGCUGUGUCUCCAAAUACAGUCACCUUGGGAGUUGGGAUCAGAUAAACUCGUGUAGAGGGACGCACAUCAGUCCCCGGCAACCCUCUCUGACCUCAGCUUUGUCCCUCCACAGUAACUUCAUUAACUCCAUCACGAGGCAGGGUUUCACCUGCUCUCCCUUGUCCCAGCUGUCUGCCCCAGAUGGCAAUAAUCUAUCUGCUUGCUUUCAGAGUCCUCCACUAUUUACCAGAGGCUGCUUGUUACCUUGCAGGGAGGCAAGAGGGGUACUGAUAUGUCAUGUCAUGCCAGUGAGCUGUGCAUUACCUCAGAGUUCAGUGGCUUACCACACAGAGCCGAGUGGGGGCCAUUCACAGGAAAAUGGAUACAACUGGAGAUAAUGAUAAUAAUUAAGCAAAUUAAGUUUCAGAAA